AAACCAAUUGUUCUUUGUAUGUGAUUUGUGUUGAUUAAUGAAUGACAUGGGUAUUUACAGCUGAGACAAAUACAUAACAGGGGAAGGUGACAGUUUCGGGGAAUGUGGAUCAGUUUCUUAUAUGGCAGUGUUUGUGAAUCAAUUUUUUUUUCUUACUUUUGCCUCCACCACCUGCUUGAUAUAAUCCUUUGAUGAACUUUAACCUAUAAUUUGAUUUUUCUAUCAAAUAUUUGAAACUCAUUUCUAGAGUAAUAUGGAAAUAGUCUUUGGAGGUAUUUUAGAUACAGUUAAUUCAUGUUUUUGAAAUUUCUAACCAGGAUUGUUUUCUUUCUGUCAUGUGGUGGUCGUAUAUACAUUUGUUAUUAUACACUAUCCUAAAUUACUCUAUCCACUAAUGCUGCUAAUUUGGUUUGUGCAGUUAAAGAGUUGUUUUGGUUUUGACACAUUUUUCACUACGAAUGUUCGUAGAUUUGGUGACGGAGGCAUUUUCAUUGGGAAUUUAAGGAGACCAAUUGAUGAAGUCAUUCCAAAGUUGGAGAAGAAACUCUCUGAUGCAGCAGGUAGAGAUCUCAAAUUCAUGGCAGAGAGUACCUGUUUGGUAAUGCCAUCUUUUUGUUCUUCUAUGAACCACAUGCCUUAAUCAUGUGGUAUGAGAUCAACUAAAUAGUUAAUUUUUCUUUGAUUUUUGACAUUGUGAAAUUAUUUGUUAUUGCUUUAUGGUGUUGUUUGACUCCAGUGAAAGUGAUUAUGAGAAUAAUAAUCUACGUUUUCUUAACUAUUUUUGCCAAUUUUUACCUUAAUGAAAACCUGCAAUUUUGAUCAGGCAUUUUGAGAACUUUAGAAAUCUAUCAAUUUGCCAAAAAAAUCAUUGAUUUGAGUAGUUGAUCAUCAGGUUUAUUUCAAUGAUGGUUGUAGGUAUUGCAGUGACAAUAUAGUUUCGCAUGGUUCUCAUCUCACACUUCGAUUUUGAUUUUUCUUUCACAAAUAAAGGUAAUUGUUGGGUUUUGUUUGUUUGUCAAUUUAGGAAUUUUUCGUACUGGGAUUUUGCAAACAGAAGUAAUUUUUCUUUUUUCCUGUGAAGGUUUAGUGGCAAAGUAACUUUUAACAAUUAAAAUGUAAAGAUUGGUGCAACGCAUAUGCAACUUUAUGAAUGUAUGAUGUGCACGCAUUGAAGGUACAAAAAUACCCCAACAGGGAAGAGCUUUUUUAAUAUGCUACACAUAGAUUCUCAUGUUUAGAUAUGUAUAUCUUCAUUCAUUUUUUUUCUUGACCUUAACCCUCCUUUUCUACUUGAAGUUUUUGAUUGAGUUUAUGUCUUUCAAAACUAUUUUGGAAUCCACAGCUGAAAAAGAUUAAACUUAUGGGACUUACAUUUUAAGAUUUGAAGUACGAUUUUUUCAGAGCAGGAAUAAUUAAGGGUCACGCUCAUAUAGGGUGAUUUGAUUACUGUAUAUAUUUUGAUUGCUUGGGUUGUUGUAUUAAUACUCAUUGUGUCAUUGUGUUGUUAUCAUUACAGAUUCAAGUUGCAUGUCCAGGUGAUGGACAAUACAGGAUCAACAAGUAUUAUCCUUUUUGACUGUAACAUUGCAAAUUAUGUGGGAAGGAGUGUUCAAGACCUAAUUGAUGCUCAGGGGCAGGUGAUAUAACUAAACAUGUUUGAUAUAAUCCUUUGAUGAACUUUAACCUAUAAUUUGAUUUUUCUAUCAAAUAUUUGAAACUCAUUUCUAGAGUAAUAUGGAAAUAGUCUUUGGAGGUAUUUUAAACAAAUUUGAUCCUGUAUUAACCUUGCCAUUUCGUGGUAUGAUUUUUGAGCUCUGAUGAUUAUCUGCUUACACUACAGGCC
rnacentral:lncRNA from 1 species